rnacentral:rRNA from 1 species
UUUUGCUGGGUGGUGGGAAUCCGAGUUAAUGAUAAACAGGGACUGUCGGGGGCAUCCGUACUACGACGCGAGAGGUGAAAUUCAGUGACCGUCGUAGGACGAACAACAGCGAAAGCAUUUGCCAAGAAUGUCUUCGUUGAUCAAGAACGAAAGUUAGAGGAUCGAAGGCGAUCAGAUACCGCCCUAGUUCUAACCCUAAACGAUGCUGACCAGCUAUUCGCCGUCGUUAUUCCCAUGACGUGGCGAGACGCCCCCGGGAAACCUCGAGUCUUUGAGUUCCGGGGGUAGUAUGGUUGCAAAACUGAAACUUAAAGGAAUUGACGGAAGGGCACCACCAGGAGUGGAGCCUGCGGCUUAAUUUGACUCAACACGGGAAACCUCACCAGGCCCGGACACCAGAAGGAUUGACAGAUUAAGAGCUCUUUCUCAAUUUGGUGGGUGGUGGUGCAUGGCCGUUCUUAGUUGGUGGAGUGAUUUGUCUGGUUAAUUCCGGUAACGAACGAGACUCUGGCCUACUAACUAGUGGGCGGGUGUUCCGGUAAGGGGCCCCGCCCGACAAUGUCUUCUUAGAGGGAUGAGCAGCGAGUAUAGCUGCAGGAGAUUGAGCAAUAACAGGUCUGUGAUGCCCUUAGAA